UACGGAGGGUGCAAGCGUUAUCCGGAUUCACUGGGUUUAAAGGGUGCGUAGGCGGGCAGGUAAGUCCGUGGUGAAAUCUCUGAGCUUAACUCAGAAACUGCCAUGGAUACUAUUUGUCUUGAAUAUUGUGGAGGUAAGCGGAAUAUGUCAUGUAGCGGUGAAAUGCUUAGAUAUGACAUAGAACACCAAUUGCGAAGGCAGCUUACUACACAGUUAUUGACGCUGAGGCACGAAAGCGUGGGGAUCAAACAGGA
rnacentral:rRNA from 1 species